AUUGAACGCUGGCGGCAGGCCUAACACAUGCAAGUCGAACGAGUGGCGGACGGGUGAGUAAUGUCUGGGAAACUGCCCGAUGGGGGGGGAUAACUACUGGAAACAGUCGCUAAUACCGCAUACCAUCGGAUGUGCCCAGAUGGGAUUAGCUAGUAGGUGGGGUAACGGCUCAUCUGGGCGACGAUCACUAGCUGGUCUGAGAGGAUGACCAGCAACACUGGAACGAGGACCCGGUCCAGACUCCUCCGGGAGGCAGCAGUGGGGAAUAUUGCACAAUGGGCGCAAGCCUGAUGCAGCCAUGCCGCGUGUAUGAAGAAGGCCUUCGGUUUGUAAAGUACUUUCAGCGGGGAGGCGUUACUCGCAGAAGAAGCACCGGCUAACUCCGUGCCAGCAGCCGCGGUAAUAC
rnacentral:rRNA from 1 species